rnacentral:tRNA from 1 species
GGAGAGAUGACCGAGUGGCUGAAGGUGCACGCCUGGAAAGCGUGUGUACUGUUACAGGUACCGAGAGUUCGAAUCUCUCUCUCUCCG